GGAUCCAGACUUUGAUAUGGCUCAGAACGAACGCUGGCGGCAGGCCUAACACAUGCAAGUCGAACGAACCUUCGGGUUAGUGGCGCACGGGUGCGUAACGCGUGGGAAUAUACCCUUGAGUGAGGAAUAACGUAGAGAAAUUUGCGCUAAUACCUCAUAAUGACUUCGGUCCAAAGAUUUAUCGCUCAAGGAUUAGCCCGCGUCAGAUUAGAUAGUUGGUGAGGUAACGGCUCACCAAGUCGACGAUCUGUAGGGGGUCUGAGAGGAUGAUCCCCCACACUGGUACUGAGACACGGACCAGACUCCUACGGGAGGCAGCAGUGAGGAAUAUUGGACAAUGGAGGCAACUCUGAUCCAGCCAUGCCGCGUGAGUGAAGAAGGCCUUAGGGUUGUAAGGCUCUUUCAAUUGCGAAGAUAAUGACGGUAACAAUAGAAGAAGCUCCGGCUAAAUUCGUGCCAGCAGCCGCGG
rnacentral:rRNA from 1 species